AUUACGUUUACAGCAGCAUUAUAUGAGCAGCUGAUCAAGUAACUAGUGGAAACGUUUAGUGACAAAUCCACUGAGAAUUGUCAUUGAGCUGUGUAUUGAAAGGGCUUUAAUGAAGCCACUGUACUCUAGUACUCAGACCCAGAGGCUGGCAGGAGAACACAGAGUAGCAGGUAGCAGCUCUCUCGCUGCUCCCAGGCCUGCUGCUAUCAGCUCGGCAUCACAGCUACUCUGCUAAAGGGUCACCGGGUUCAGCUGUUCUAUACUAACUACUAAGGGAAGCUCCCCUCGUCCCUCCCCAACACAAACACUGGUGAGAUGUGACCUAAUGGCCCCGUCAAAGGAUGUUCUGUUUGUAUGGAUAUCGCUUUAAGGGUAAGCCUACAGAUAUCCAGAGAGUUUGGGUGAACCCGAUGUUCCCGGAUGUUUAUAAUUGUGUGCUUCUUAUCACUCAUUCAGAUUAUUUACUGCUGGUUACUCUAAAGUCUAACAUGAACAGCUGGUUUAAACUUAAAAAGAGACUUCCGUGUUGGAGUGAAAUUAAUUAAUAUUAAACCUAUCUAUAAAUGGUUGACCUUUUAUUGGCUUUUGGGGAUUCUUUUUUUUUGCAUAAUGGGCCUUGAAAACCAACUCCACUUGUGUAUUAUGCAUUAUGCUAUGUUAAACACAGGCAAAUCGCAGGAAGCAUGAGCUCAUGUCAGGCCUUUGUUUUUAGUCCAUGACCUUCCACGCAGCCACAUAAACAAUCUGGAUCCACAUGAGUCCAAUGAGCAAUAUACCGAGAUUGUUGUUCAUUGAACUGUAUGUUCAUAAGCUGGCUCUGGAGUUAUGUGAGACAGCGUUGGUUACUGUGAUUCAUUAGCGGGUUGAUGUACUUAAAUUUCUCUUCUCCUCUCAGGGACCCCCUACUCCCCACCCCUUGCCCCAUCCCACACUCAUUUGGAUUUUGAUGCCACAUACAAGGACAAAUAGUCCAAACAGGAGUAGUAUCAACACCAGGACUCUUUAGUGCCAUUCACAGCUGUCAAUCAUGUCUAAGACAAUAUUUUAGAGCAACAUUGAUGGUUCCAUCUGUCUCUGUGUGCUCAGCGACUUUCUCAAGUGAUCAUUUAAACUGGUCAGCCUAACAAAGCUCUGUAGAGGAGAACUGAGCCGCUGGAUCGUGAGCGUGUGCUGCAGGUCAUGAAUGUACAUGAACUGCAGUGAAGCUAUUUAGUCACAUGCUCAUCAGAAUGUUACACCAUAUCCACGCAGAGGCACAUCCAGGGCUACGCACUUUCCGAACCUUUUCUACGGUGCUCGCCUCUUCAUGUGUUGUUGGAGGAAAACAUGAUCCAACAUUAGAUGUGUUUCUGAAGGGAAUUUUAAAACAGAUUUUCAACUAUCCAACUAUUUGUAGUUACUGUGUUUUUUUUCUUCAUUUGUACAUUUUCUUGUAAUUGAGGAAAUUUCUUAG
ensembl:lncRNA